UGUUGAAUAGUGUAACGGUAAGCAUACCAGUCUUUGACACUGGUGGUCCAGGUUCGAAUCCCGGUUCAACAA
rnacentral:tRNA from 1 species